UACGUAGGGUGCGAGCGUUGUUCGGAAUCACUGGGCGUAAAGGGCGUGUAGGCGGCUCGGUAAGUCGGGAGUGAAAUCCCACGGCUCAACCGUGGAAUUGCUCUCGAUACUGCUGAGCUUGAGUACGGGAGAGGAAGGCGGAAUUCCCAGUGUAGAGGUGAAAUUCGUAGAUAUUGGGAAGAACACCGGUGGCGAAGGCGGCCUUCUGGACCGAUACUGACGCUGAGGCGCGAAAGCGUGGGGAGCAAACAGG
rnacentral:rRNA from 1 species